UACGUAGGGUGCGAGCGUUAAUCGGAAUUACUGGGCGUAAAGCGUGCGUAGGCGGUUCGCUGUGUCCUAUGUGAAAGCCCCGGGCUUAACCUGGGAAUGGCAUUGGAAACUGGCGGGCUUGAGUGCGGCAGAGGGGGGUGGAAUUCCGCGUGUAGCAGUGAAAUGCGUAGAGAUGCGGAGGAACACCGAUGGCGAAGGCAGCCCCCUGGGUCGACACUGACGCUCAGGCACGAAAGCGUGGGGAGCAAACAGG
rnacentral:rRNA from 1 species